CUACGGGAGGCAGCAGUGGGGAAUAUUGCGCAAUGGGGGAAACCCUGACGCAGCGACGCCGUGUGAGUGAUGAAGGCUUUCGGGUCGUAAAGCUCUGUCGGAUGGAAAGAAUAAAGGCUGUGUGAAUAAUGCAGCCUGAUGACGGUACCAUCGAAGGAAGCACCGGCUAACUCCGUGCCAGCAGCCGCGGUAAUACGGAGGGUGCAAGCGUUGUUCGGAAUUAUUGGGCGUAAAGAACGUGUAGGCGGAUCUGUAUGUCAGAUGUGAAAUCCCUCGGCUCAACUGAGGAAGUGCAUCUGAAACUGCAGGUCUUGAGUACGAGAGAGGAGAGUGGAAUUCCCAGUGUAGAGGUGAAAUUCAUAGAUAUUGGGAAGAACACCGGCGGCGAAAGCGGCUCUCUGGCUCGAUACUGACGCUGAGACGUGAAAGCGUGGGGAGCAAACAGGAUUAGAUACCCCCGUAGUC
rnacentral:rRNA from 1 species